rnacentral:rRNA from 1 species
GAAAAUAUUUAUUUAUUGAAUUUAUUAGUUUAUGAUUUAUUAAAUAAAAUAAUUAUGUUUUUAUUAUUAAUUAAGAAAAAAUAUGUAUAAUUAUAGUUAAAAGUAUUGAGAAAGAAAAUUUUUAUUUAUUAAAAAGAAAAAUUAAAGUUUUGUACCUUGUGCAUCAGGGUUGAUUAAAAAAUAAUUUAAUAGUAAAUAUUCUCGAAUUUAAAAGAGCUAAUUAAUUAUAAAUUUUAUUGUGAAAUAAAUAUUUAAAAUAUUUAAUUAGAAAUGAAACGUUAUUCGUUUUUAAAUUUAUCUAGUUUUUAAAUAAAUAAAUUUAAUUUAGCUAUUUAUUAUUAAAAAUUUAAUUUAUUAAAUUUUUAUAAUAAAUAAGUAAUUUUUUUGGGGAAAAGCUUGAAAAAAAAUAAUUAUAAUAAAAUAAGAAUUUUAAUAAGUUAUAGGAUUAUAAUUUUCUAUAAAUAAUAAAAUGUUAUAAUUAAUUAUUAAAAAAAUAUUAUUUUUAUUUUAUUUAAAUUUUUUAUUUAAAUAUAGUUAUUAAUUUUAAAAAAUUAGUAAUAAUGAUUAAAUUAGUAUAAAUUAAUGUAUAAAUAUCUAUAUAAUAUAGGUAAGUUUAAGGAAUUCGGCAAAUAUAUUUUUCACCUGUUUAUUAAAAACAUGUCCUUUUGAUUAUAAUUUAAGGUCUAAUCUGCCCACUGAGGAUUUAAAUGGCCGCGGUAUUUUGACCGUGCAAAGGUAGCAUAAUAAUUAGUUUCUUAAUUAGAAGCUGGAAUGAAAGAUUGAAUGAGAAAAUAACUGUCUCAGAUUUAUUUAAUUAGAAUUUUAUUUUUAAGUUAAAAAGCUUAAAUAAUUUUGAAAGACGAGAAGACCCUAUAGAGUUUUAUUUAAAUUUUUAAUAGAAAAAAAUUGAUUUUAAAUUUUUUAAUAAAAAUUUAAAUUUUGUUGGGGUGAUAGAAAAAUUUAAUAAACUUUUUUUAUAUUUAAACACUAAUUAGUGAUUAAUUGAUCCAAAUAUUUUGAUUAUAAGAUUAAAUUACCUUAGGGAUAACAGCGUAAUUUUUUUUGAGAGUUCUUAUCGAAAAAAAAGAUUGCGACCUCGAUGUUGGAUUAAAGUUAAAUUUUGGUGUACAAGCUAAAAUUUUAGGCCUGUCCGACCUUUAAAACUUU